AUGUCACAAUCCCAUCCGUGGGCUGAGCUAAGGAAGGAGAAUAAAAUCACCCAAGUGUUGAGCAGAGGCAGAUGUUAAAAUCACUCCUGCAGGAAGGCCCAGGGAUGAGAUUAACAAUACUGAACAUGUCCUUGUUUUAGACAGUGUCUCCUCAGUGGAGUAAAAGCCUCACGGUGUGUUGAAUCUUGGUCUGAGAGUCGCCAACCCACUGGUGGACCGGAUCCACUUACAAGAGUCAAUGUUCAAACUUUCAACUGUCUCCAGCUGUGAGAUUCAGAACCUCAACAGGACACUGAGCGCCAGGGCCCAAGUCACCAGCAAGAGAAAACCCAGGCGGAGCCCAGGGUGUCCCCCACUGCCCACCAGCCACUGCGGUCAACGUGAAGGGCAAGGGUGCAAGCGGGAUCGCGUCACAGGGAGCCGAGUGAGCCCAGAAAGUAGGAGAAGGACGUUUCCACCCACCUGGAGCGCAGUCCGUUUGCAGCCGGCGGCAGAAUGCUGCUGUCUCCAUCAAUAAAGUCCAUGUUAGCCACCUAGAGGAUAAAAUACCACGAGGAGGAGUAGCAAGGUGCCCCUGUUGACAGAUCUUGAAGCACAAGCUCACUCCCAGAAGCACAGCUGCCUAGUCAACAAACAGCUGACAAUACAUGUCUGAAGGAGCUCAGCUGGGAACAGAAGAAUGGCCCCACUGAGCCUAGCCUAAAUGGCGGACCAUCUCAAUUAUGAGCUAAUAAGUUUUGGAUGAUUUGUUAUGCUGCCAUACCUAACUAAUACAUGCACCCAGUGCAGAUUGGGUGUCAAGAUUUAAAGACAGUUUGAUUAUUAGUCACCUUCUAACAAUGGGCACCCUAAAGGUACUGACAUUUUUCCCGAUUUAAAGUUAAAUGUCUUGUAAGGCAAUGUUGACUGAUGCAGGAAUACUUGUAGACAUGUAUGCAUGUGAUUGGUGCUUAUAUGCACACAGUCCCCCACACCACAGGAAAAAACCGAUGACCAGAGCCUGACCAUUAUGGCCAAGGCCAAAUAGCCAAAGUUUGCCUUUAAUCUAUUUUCUUCAUAUCUAAAAAUUGGAGGUCAAUACUGUGGACAGGUCUGAAGACAUAGAGUUUUGUUCUCCUGUGGCCCCAUCAUUCUUCAGUGGUCUACCUGUGGUUAUUUUAUUCUUGUUACCUUCUGCUCUUUCUAUGACCACUAUCUGUUCCACCCUUGAAACUGAAGACAGAUGUUAGUAGAAAGAGGCUGUUCCCUCAUGUCGGGCAUGUGGGAUACGAUGAGGUUUCUCUUCAAAUAGCCUGAUCAAUCUUUUAUUCUUUAAUUCAUAGUACCCACACACACACCCCUUUUUUUCCUUUUUCUCCUUUUUCCUUUCUGCCUUUGUUAGAUGCCCAGGCACGCCACAGUACCAGGCAUUAUCAGUACCAGCUCACAUUUCUUCCCUUAUUUGGAAAGAGGACUAACUUUCUAGCUCAAUGCAGACACCCCUUCCCCUUCCUCUCUGCAUUCUUUUGCAUGCCCACCUUAUCUAAAAAAAUCAAAUGUUUAGCCAACCAGGAUUAGUUCAGAUUGUACGACCCGACCCUGGCCAAUGGGGAAAGGGUACAGGGGCAGGACUUGUGUCAGGAAUAAAGGCUCUUGUGCCCCUUUGUUCAGGUGUGCUCUCAUGGUGACUGGACAAGAACGCACCCCUCUGUGCAGAACUAAAAUUGCUUUGCUAGGAAUCCUUUGUUCGAGUGUUCAAUUUCCUUAUGAUUUUGAGCGUUAUUCCUAACAGGAAGAAAAGGGAUAUUCAGGCCUUUCACAGACCUGACAACAGAGCUGCACUUCAAUGUGACAGGUAUUGACCAUGUGUGACUCCUGGGAGCCUGGAAUGUGGCUGGUCUGAGCUGCAAUUUGCAAGAAAGGUAAAAUGCAGAGUUAGUUUCAAAGAUUUAGUUCCAUAAAUAUAAAAAUAUACAACAUAUAGAUAAAAAUAUCUAUAUAUAAUAUGGAUAAAAAUACAUAGCAUAAUGCAAUAUAUAGAUACAUAAUUAUGUUAUAUAUAAAUAUAUAUCUCAUUCAUAAUUAUACAUUGCUCACAUAUUAAAAUAAUAUUUUGGAUAUAUUGCUUUAAUUAAAUUGUUACAACAGACGGAUGCAGUGUCUCACGC
rnacentral:lncRNA from 1 species